CUCAACUACUGGUCUGUCUUGGUAACUGAAACUUGAAUAUUAGAGAUUCAUUCAUCUAGAUUCAGAUUGAUUCCUUCAGUCAAUGGACUUGGACUUGGACUUCCCUGGUGGCUCAGACGUUUCUACCCAACUCUGGCUAUGGUCAAUAUUAGCUGGAUAAUUCCCUGAAUCUGGCUUAUGUGGAAUCUUGCAAGGACAAAGAGGAUUUGCUCACUCAUCGGUGAGAGAGGUACUGGUCAUGCAUGCUUACGUGUGCUAAUAAUUCUGGUCUUUAGUGGUACCGAUUUAAUGAAGACAAUGUUAU
ensembl:lncRNA